rnacentral:rRNA from 1 species
GAUGAACGCUGGCGGCGUGCCUAAUACAUGCAAGUCGAGCGAACAGACGAGGAGCUUGCUCCUCUGACGUUAGCGGCGGACGGGUGAGUAACACGUGGAUAACCUACCUAUAAGACUGGGAUAACUUCGGGAAACCGGAGCUAAUACCGGAUAAUAUAUUGAACCGCAUGGUUCAAUAGUGAAAGACGGUUUUGCUGUCACUUAUAGAUGGAUCCGCGCCGCAUUAGCUAGUUGGUAAGGUAACGGCUUACCAAGGCAACGAUGCGUAGCCGACCUGAGAGGGUGAUCAGCCACACUGGAACUGAGACACGGUCCAGACUCCUACGGGAGGCAGCAGUAGGGAAUCUUCCGCAAUGGGCGAAAGCCUGACGGAGCAACGCCGCGUGCGUGAUGAAGGUCUUCGGGUCGUAAAACGCUGUUAUUAGGGAAGAACAAAUGUGUAUGAAACUAUGCACGUAUUGACGGUACCGAAACAGAAAGCACCGGCUAACUACGUG